rnacentral:rRNA from 1 species
GAUGAACGCUAGCGGCAGGCUUAAUACAUGCAAGUCGUGGGGCAGCGCAGUGUAGCAAUACAUGGGCGGCGACCGGCAAACGGGUGCGUAACACGUACGCAACCUUCCCGUUACUGGGGAAUAGCCCAGGGAAACUUGGAUUAAUACCCCAUAUUAUAUUGAUUGGGCAUCUAAUUAAUAUCAAAGCUUCGGCGGUAACGGAUGGGCGUGCGGUUGAUUAGGUAGUUGGCGGGGUAACGGCCCACCAAGCCUACGAUCAAUAGCUGAUGUGAGAGCAUGAUCAGCCACACGGGCACUGAGACGCGGGCCCGACUCCUACGGGAGGCAGCAGUAAGGAAUAUUGGGCAAUGGACGCAAGUCUGACCCAGCCAUGCCGCGUGAAGGAUGAAGGUCCUCUGGAUUGUAAACUUCUUUUAUCUGGGGCGAAAAUCGGGUAUUCUUAUCCGCUUGACAGUACCAGAGGAAUAAGCACCGACUAACUCCGUGCCAGCCGCCGCGGUAACAC